AGGGCAAUAUUCACAUGUCAUUAUAACACAAGAACAAGAGAGGUUUCACCAUUCUUCAUCCCAAAGGGCAAUAUUCACAAGCCAUAACACAAGAAGUAGAGAGGUUUCACCAUUCUUCAUCACAAAGGGCAGUAUUCACAUGUCAUUAUAAUACAAGAACAAGAGAGGUUUCACCAUUCUUCAUC